GCGUGCGCAGGCGGUUAUGUAAGACAGAUGUGAAAUACCCCGGGCCUCAACCUGGGAACUGCAUUUGUGACUGCAUGGCUAGAGUACGGUAGAGGGGGAGUGGAAUUCCGCGUGUAGCAGUGAAAUGCGUAGAUAUGCGGAGGAACACCGAUGGCGAAGGCAAUCCCCUGGACCUGUACUGACGCUCAUGCACGAAAGCGUGGGGAGCAAACAGGAUUAGAUACCCCUGU
rnacentral:rRNA from 1 species